rnacentral:rRNA from 1 species
UUUGGUGGCGAUAGCGAAGAGGUCACACCCGUUCCCACGCCGAACACGGAAGUUAAGCUCUUCAGCGCCGAUGGUAGUCGGGGGUUUCCCCCUGUGAGAGUAGGACGCCGCCAAGC